rnacentral:rRNA from 1 species
AUCUGGUUGAUCCUGCCAGAGGCGACCGCUAUUGGAGUUCGAUUAAGCCAUGCGAGUCGAGAGUCUUAGGGACUCGGCAUACUGCUCAGUAACACGUGGAUAACCUGCCCUAUGCAAGGGGAUAACCUCGAGAAAUUGAGAAUAAUACCCUAUAGGUCACCAUGCCUGGAACGGUUGGUGACUAAAGUUCAGGCGGCAUAGGAUGGGUCUGCGGCGUAUCAGGUUGUAGUGGGUGUAAUGUACCUACUAGCCAUUGACGCGUACGGGUGUUGGGAGACAUAGCCCGGAGAUGGAUUCUGAGACACAAAUCCAGACCCUACGGGGUGCAGCAGGCGCGAAAACUUCACACUGCAGGAAACUGUGAUGAGGGAACUCCAAGUGGUGCGGCAAAAUGUCGCAUCUUUUCUUAACUUUUAACAGAUUUUGGAAUAAGGGCUGGGAAAGACCGGUGCCAGCCGCCGCGGUAAUACCGGCAGCUCAAGUGGUCGUCGCUUUUAUUGGGCCUAAAACGUCCGUAGCCUGU